rfam:Firmicutes bacterium CAG:65 genomic scaffold, scf38
UGAUACCAAGGGUUACAAGCCAAAAGUCUACGCAAGCUUGCUUGCAGGAGACUUUUAGGAUUAGGAACCCGUACCACAUGAGCAAGUAGCCAUUUUCAAGGAAAAUGAGCGGAUUGUGAAUGUGGUUCAGAUUGAGAGAGUGCGAAGCACGGAACAAUCUGGAAGGUAUCA